rnacentral:lncRNA from 1 species
CAGAAAAUGACCUCAGGAAUGACAGGAACCAGGGAAUCUAACGCCAACAGGAUUCUCUCUGCAAACCAACCUAUUUUUUUCCAUCUGCAGAUAUACGCUCUCCAUAUUUCAAGAGACAUGACUGCUGGCAGCUUCCAGAGUCACAUCCUCACUGAUUCACGAGACAAAAAGGAGGGCUUCUCCUCCAGCCAGUGCUAGUUUGAAAAAUCCUAAUGAAGGGUUGACUAGUCUUUACCUGUUGCUUUCCCCUUGGAUGAGAGGGGAGCCUCCGGCUCAGGCCAGGCCUGCUUCGUAGCUGCCUUCAGGAUGAACUGAUGGAACUGACAUUGCCAGAGAGAACAUGCAAAUACUCAUCAGGAUGAGAGAUGGAAAGAGGUGCAUGUUGUCCUUUAAUGCCAGAGGUUUCAGAAACCUUCAAAGAGCCUGUCCCUUUUUGGGGAGGAACCCUUCUUCCUUGGAGAAAUGGAGAGCAGCUUUGAACUUCACAAAAGCCUUGCCUUCAUAAGCUUGGCAAAGGCAAAAUCGGGCUCCACUAGAGGACCCUUCGGCUCAGUAGCGAAGAUAAUCCCAGCUCCUGGGCAGCUCAAGCCUGUAAACCAAGGACAGCUGUUGUGAAAAU